rnacentral:ncRNA from 22 species
GACGUCAUAUUGGAUCACGGUGCCCAACGGGAGCUUAAAUGUCUCGUGAGGCUUGAUAGGGAAGAGGGGUGCAACUCCCCCGCGGACCCGCCGCUGUAAACGUGGACAACAGGCUCCAUGCCACUGGUUUCGACCGGGAAGGCGCCUGAAGGAUGAAGCGUAAGCCAGAAGACCUGCCUGAUCCCAACACUCAAUG